rnacentral:rRNA from 1 species
UUACUCCUACGGGAGGCAGCAGUGGGGAAUUUUGGCAUCAAUGGGCGAAAGCCUGAUCCAGCCAUGCCGCGUGCAGGAUGAAGGCCUUCGGGUUGUAAACUGCUUUUGUACGGAACGAAAAGACUCUGGUUAAUACCUGGGGUCCAUGACGGUACCGUAAGAAUAAGCACCGGCUAACUACGUGCCAGCAGCCGCGGUAAUAA